rfam:Xenopus laevis strain J chromosome 4S, whole genome shotgun sequence.
GUCAGGAUGGCCGAGCGGUCUAAGGCGCCAGACUCAAGAAUCAGGUUUCUUCCCCUAUAAAUGGGUGUUCUGGUCUCCGAAUGGAGGCGUGGGUUCAAAUCCCACUUCUGACA